rnacentral:piRNA from 1 species
CUCGUGACGGGAACGGAAUCGGGAGCGC